rnacentral:lncRNA from 1 species
UUCAGUAAAACAAAUCAUCUUCGAGCAGCACAUAUUUUGUGACCUGAAAGCGUACUCGCCGAUCCACUUUCUUGGACGGAUCUUUCAAGUAAUUGGCGAUCUCCUUUCGCCAAUCGUCGGCCACAAGUUCCAGAGUCAUGGCACCUUGAAUCGGCCGAUACCCGGACGCGUGUUGGGCGAGCCUAUUGGCCUCUUCAUUGUAAUUUCUGGGAAUAUGCUCAAUAACCGCAAACUUGAAUUCCUUUGAAAGCUGGAGGCAAUCUUCAUAGUAAAUCCUCAAGACAUCAUCUUUGCAUUC